GUGUGUUGGUGUCUCUGCCAUUUGAGCUGUCCAUUCAAGCCUAGGGCUAAAAUAGCCCUUGAGGAUGCCCGAGAGGGAGACAGUACCCCCCGAGUUCAACAUGAGAGGCCAAAGUCAAUGAAAGGAAAAAGCUGUGGAAAGGGAAGGGAAGUGACGUAUAGUGAGAAACACGCAACAAGAAAGCAAUCUUGCAGCCACUACGACAAUUUGCUAGGCUCGCCAUAGGCGAAGCAGCAGUCAUGUAUAACCUGGCUUUGACCUAUGAAUGAUCGACUUUCCUCACCCUGUCGUCGGCCGUGUUUACUGUUAUGCAAGGUUACCAGGUAUGUCGGGCCAAAAUAUCGUACAAAAACCUCUAAAGGAUCGUAUUUUUAUUUCAAUAUGAUUGGAUUUCACCAAUUCCAAAGGUUUUGUGUAACAGUUAAUUAUAGGUGUUAGUUAGAAUUGCUUUGUAUUCCUAUAGUCAACCUAAAAUUGUACAAUGAAAAUAGUGAUACUGUACCAUGUGUAUAUUUACCAAAUUCCUUUGUUAUAAUAUUCCCCUAUGUAUAUAUGUAAAAUUCUUAUUGCCCAUGGUAACACCACUGGAACCCAUAAUAUUAUCAUCAUUCUCAACAAUGAUUUGACUAGCCUUCCCUUUAAUACUUACUGUACAAGUGUCAAAUAUUUGUUUCUAUGAUCAUUAUCAUACUACUAUGAACCCCGUUUUUACAUCUGUCAUAGUUUACGUCACAACUAAGUCUCUCUCAGGGUGCUCACUAAAUUUAACUUUGGCAAGUGCCUUAAUUAUCAACAUUAUACAUCACUGCAUAUUUUUGCCAAUUAGGCCGUGGCUUCAAAUAGCUAUUUUCCAAAAUACGAUCCAUAUUCAAUGCUUUGGUAAGAUUUUAUCGACGAAACUCUGUUAUUCAUUUGCAACCAGAGCCAUUGGCAUUUUCCAGGGGUGAAAUAUUGUUUAAAGGAUUUGUCAUAAAAAUUUAUUUCGGUCUGGGUAAUUGUUCAUCUGAUUGUUAAAUUUCUCUCAUUAUAUAAGAUUCUAUUGCACUGGGAUUCACGAAAUCCACGCAUUAAACAAUUCACUCAAUUUCCUUUUCCAUUCUGCGUUGAGUAUAAUAAUUCUCAUGUACAAACAAGCCUUUUA